CUGAAUUCUCAGAUUCCGUCUAUUCUCUAUUGAGUUCAUACAUAUUAGUCAGCAGCUGUAAUGCUAGUAACAUUAUCUCCACACAGCACCUCACACUUUACAAAACUCCCACAGAUACUUUCUCUCGUCUACUUCUUACCACCACUCUGAGAAGUCAACAGGAAAAGGAUCAUGCUUUGUGUGGAGGAUAAAGAUGGAAGUUUUACUCCAGGUACUAGAAGCACCUCAGAGGCUCAAAGGGCGGCUUUAAAAACCCACUACAGACUUGGGGGCUUAAAACAACUCUUCUGGAGGUCUGAAGUCCAAAAUCAAGGUGUCCACAGGGCUGUGCUCCUUCCAAAAGCUCUAGCUCCAGCCGGUCCCUCCGUUCAGGGUCCCUGACUUCCCACAACAGGAAUGCAUCCAAUCAAGGAACUGAAAGAUUUCUACAAGGAGAACUACGAACUACUGCUGAAAUAAAUCAUAGAGGACACAAACAAAUGAAAAAGCAUUCCAUGCUCACGGACUGGAAGAAUCAAUAUUGUUAAAAUGGUCAUUCUGCCCAGAGCAAUCUACAGAUUCAAUGCUAUUCCUAUCAAGCUACAAAUGUCAUUUUUUACAGAACUAGAAAAAACUAUUCUAAAAUUCAUAUGCAACCACAAAAGAGCCUGAAUAGCAAAAACAAUCCUAAGCAAAAAGAACAAAGCCAGAGGAAUCACAUUACCCAACUUCAAACUAUGCUAUAAGGCUAUAGUAACUAAAACAGCAUAGUAUGGGUACAAAGCAGAUAUAGACCAAUGGAACAGAGUAAAGAACCCAGAAAUAAAGCUGCACACCUACAAUCAUCUGAUCUUCAGCAGAGUCAACAAAAACAAGUAAUAGGGAAAGGAUUCCCUAUUUAAUACAUGGUGCUAGGAUAGCUGGCUAGCCACAGUAAAACUGGGCCCCUGUCUUUCAUGAUAUACAAAAACUCAAGCUGAAUUAAAGAUUUCAGUGUAAUACCUCACACUAUAAGAAUCCUAGAAGAGGGUCAGGGGCAGUGGCUCACACCUUUAAUUCCAGCACUUUGGGAGGUCGAGAUAGGCGGAUCAUCAGGUCAGGAGAUCGAGACCAUCCUGGCCAACAUGGUGAAACCCUGUCUCUACUAAAAAUACAAAAAUUAGCUUGGCAUAGUGGCACACACUUCUAGUCCCAGCUACUCGGGAGGCUGAGGCAGGCAGGAGAAUCUCUUGAACCUGGGAGGUGGAGGUUGCAGUGAGCCAAGGUCGCACCACUGCACUCCAGCCUGGGGAAAGAGGGAGACUCCGUCUCAAAAAAAAAAAAAAAAAUCCUAGAAGAAAACCCAGGAAACACUGUUUUGUACAUUGGCUUGGCCUUGGGAAAGAAUCUAUUACUAAGUCCUCAAAAGCAAGUGGAAUUGACAAGCGGAACCUAAUGAAACUUAAGAGCUUCUGCACAGCAAAACAACUAACAACAGAGUAAACAGACAACCUACAGAAAGGGAGAAAAUAUUCACAACUUAUGCAUCCACCAAAGGUCUAAUAUCUGGAAUCUAUGAGAAAGCUAAACAAUUGAACAAGCCAAAAACAAAUAAUCUCAUUUUAAAAAGGCCCAACAAAAACAGAAAAAUACAGAUGCAAAAGACAUGAACACACACACUUCUUAAAAGACAUACAAGCAGCUAACAAACAUGAAAAAAAUGUUCAACAUCACUAAUUAUCAGAGAAAUGAAAAUCAAGACCACAAUGACAUACCAUCUCACAGCAGUCAGAAUGGCUAUUAUUAAAAAGUCAAAACACAAUAGAUGUUGGUGAGCUGUAGAGAAAAGGGAAUGCUUAUAAACUGUUGGUGGGAAUGUAAAUUAGUAUAGCCACAAUGGAAAGAAGUUUGGAGAUUUCUCAAAGAACUUAAAAGAGAACUACCAUUCAACCCAGCAAUCCCCAUUACUGGGUAUAUAUUCAAAAGGAAAUAAAUUAUUCUACCAAAAAGACCCAUGCACUCAUAUAUGUUCAUCACAGCACUAUUCACAAUAGCAAACACAUGAAAUCAACCUAGAUGUCCAUCAAUGGUGGACUGGAUAAAGAAAAUGUGCCACAUAUAUGCCAUGGAAUACUAUGCAGCCAAAAAAAGAACAAAAUCAUGUCCUUUGCAGCAACAUGGAUGCAGCUGGAGAUCAUUAUCCUAAGCAAAUUAAUGCAUGAACAGAAAACCAAAUACUGCAUGUUCUCGCUUACAAAUGGGAGCUAAACAUUGGGUGCUCAUGGACAUAUAGACGGCCGUAACUGACACUGAGGACUACCAGAAAGAGGAGGGAGAAAGAGGGUGCAGGGGUUGAAAAACUAACCAUUGUGUAUUAUGUUCAGUACUUGGGUGAUGGGAUCAACUGUACACCAAACCUCAGUAUCACACAAUAUACCCAGGUAACAAACCUGCACAUGCACCCCCUGCAUCUAAAAUAAAAGUUGAAAUUUAAAAUAAUAAUAAUAAAUUAGUGCACAUUAAUAAUCACUGUUCACUAGGCACUAUCUAAUUUAUGUGCCAUGUACUUGAUUCUCAUUACUUCAUUGAUCAUCACAGAGAAUCUUGUAACAUUGAUAUGGUUAUUUUCCUGUUACACAGGAAGAAACAAGGCUUAAGGGGUUAAGUAAGCUGUCCAAGGUCAUACAGUUAUUUAAAAGCAGUGCAAGGAUUUGAACCUGGAUCUGUUCUAUUCUCAAGUCUGGGCUAUCAAACAGCUUCCAACUGGGAAUUCCCUGCUCCACACCUCCAGUAAACUUCAGUCUUCCCCCUGACUCCCAGGUAUAAAUCCCCCUCUUCCAAACAGCGUGAAAUAUCUUAAAGUAAUUGCAGCAGCAUGUUGAAUAAGCCAGGUGAAUACAAAUGUUUAUUACUGGAACUUCAUAAGAAUGCAGAGACAGCUUCAAGGACAACCCCCUCCCCCAACACACACGCAGGUACACACACACGCAGGUACACUAUCCAUUCAGUCACAAUUUUACCAUUUAUGCUCUGACUGAUUCUCUGUAACUUUUGAAAUGUUUUCACUGUUGUUUAUUUAACAGCUACAACCAGAGUCAUUAGCCAUUGACUACUGGACAUAAGAGGCUUGCUAUUUGACUAAAGUUGGACAAAAACCCACAUGAAGCUGCCACAUCCUGCAGCAGUUCCCAUGAAAUCCACCUUAUCCAGGAAACCCCAUGUGUUCAGGAGCAGUAUCAGAAAGCCGUUCUGCUGAGCAAAGAAGAGAGGAGCACAGAGAGAAGGUGCUUCAACACCACAGAAAGAAAAUUGAGGCCUGGCAUAAGGAAGAACGAAGAAUGUGGUGGUAUUUGGAGUUAGUGGAAGAGGAGGAGUUUCAGGGGUGUCAGACUUGAGUUUUCAUCCUGCUUUCCACUAGAGCUUCUGUUAACUAGAGCUUUAGUUUCUUUAUUACAUGCUGAUAGUAGUGCCAGGGUGAAGGGAAGACUAAAUAUGAUGUCAAUGCCAUUACAAAUGCCUGACAUAUAGCACGCUUUCAAAAAUAUGUCAGUUCCUUUGUUGGAGUAAAAGGUUUUCUUCAUUUCUAAUUGACUGUUUUAAAAAUACAAUGAUUAUUACUCUUGUUACUCUGAUGUAUGAUUCAUUAAUUUUAUUUAAGCUCCCCAUGUAUUUCAAUAGAACUUUGACAAUUUUUAAAAAGGACAUAAAAAGUUCGUUGGUGGAAAUUUUCUUGUCAGCUCUCUUCGUUUCACCAUGAGCAAAUAAAAAUAGUUAACAUACCCAGAGAACACUGAAAAUUAAAAAAAAAAAAAAAAAAAAAGAAGAAGAAGAAUAGUUAACAUUCCCUGAGCACUUACUUUGAGCCAGUCCCUCUUCUGACUGAAUUCCGC
rnacentral:lncRNA from 1 species